AUCUUUGUUGUGGGCAAAGCGCGCCAACCGCAGGUAAUAAUUCUUUGGGUCCGGGCUACACUUAUUGGAGUUCGUGGUCUUCAGGAAUCUCGUGUUUACAAGUAUCUCACCUCCUGUAACUCCUGUGCCACCGAGACCUCAUCUUAAGGCUAUGAUUUUCAAUAAAAAAGAAGAUAAAAACUACCCUUCAGCCCAAGGGCAAACUUCUGAUGUUAAGAAAUAAUAAAUGGCAUGAAGAUGGGAGACAGAAGAAAGGAAGAAGACAAAGUGAGGAUAAGGCUGACGGCACAGAGGAAGAGCUUGGGAGGUUACCGAUUAUGCAGUGAAGGCUUGGAGUGAUGAAAAUAAAAUAGAUAAAUAUUGAAUACCCAG